GAUGAACGCUAGCGACAGGCCUAACACAUGCAAGUCGAGGGGCAGCACAAGGGUAGCAAUAUUCUGGUGGCGACCGGCGCACGGGUGAGUAACACGUAUGCAACCUACCUGUAAGAGGGGAAUAACCCGGAGAAAUUCGAACUAACACCGCAUAAUACCGUUUAACUGCAUGGUUGAACGGUUAAAUAUUUAUAGCUUACAGAUGGGCAUGCGUAUGAUUAGCUAGUUGGUGAGGUAACGGCUCACCAAGGCAACGAUCAUUAGGGGUUCUGAGAGGAAGGUCCCCCACACUGGUACUGAGAUACGGACCAGACUCCUACGGGAGGCAGCAGUGAGGAAUAUUGGUCAAUGGGCGAGAGCCUGAACCAGCCAAGUCGCGUGAAGGAAGAAGGUUCUAUGGAUUGUAAACUUCUUUUGUAAGGGAAUAAAACACACCACGUGUGGUGUCUUGUAUGUACUUUACGAAUAAGGAUCGGCUAACUCCGUGCCAGCAGCCGCGGUAAUACGGAGGAUCCGAGCGUUAUCCGGAUUUAUUGGGUUUAAAGGGUGCGUAGGCGGAC
rnacentral:rRNA from 1 species